UACGUAGGGGGCAAGCGUUGUCCGGAUUCAUUGGGCGUAAAGAGCGUGUAGGCGGCCAGGUAGGUCGGUUGUGAAAACUGGAGGCUCAACCUUCAGAGGUCGACCGAAACCAUCUGGCUAGAGUCCGGGAGAGGAGAGUGGAAUUCCUGGUGUAGCGGUGAAAUUCGUAGAUAUUCGGAAGAACACCAGUGGCGAAGGCGACUAACUGGACAUGUAUUGACGCUGAGGUGCGAAAGCGUGGGGAGCAAACAGG
rnacentral:rRNA from 1 species